rnacentral:sRNA from 1 species
GUUGUCAGAUUACACCCGAGACGGAGCGGGUCUCGGGCGUUCUGGAGACACGUAGGGGUGAAUUUAUGUUUCCGCCGAUUGCAUCUGGAGGGGUUCAUCAGACUUAACUUCUGCUAGAAAUUGUCACCAGCCUCUAUUAGAAAAUCCCAUGGUGUCAGAAAGUGAUUUUUCUAAAGACGUUGCAGUACAAGUGUUGCCUUUGGAUAAAAUAGAAGAGAACAACAAACAAAAAGCAAAUGACAUCUUCAUUUCUCAGUAUACAAUGGGACAGAAAGAUGCUCUAAGAACAGUUUUAAAGCAAAAACAGGAUCUCGCUCUGUUGCCUAGGCUGGACUGCAACCUCCACCUCCUGGGUUCAAACAAUUCUGCCUCAGCCUCCUGAGUAGCUGGGAUUACAGGCAUGCACUACCAUGCCUGGCUAUUAUUUGUAUUUUUAGUAGAGAUGAGGUUUCACCAUGUUGGUUAGGCUGGUCUCAAACUCCUGACCUCAGGUGAUCCGCCCACCUCGGUCUCCCAAAGUGCUGGGAUUACAGUGUCUCACUUUGUCUCACAGGCUGGAGUGCAGUGGGGUGAUCAUGACUCACUGCAG